rnacentral:rRNA from 1 species
GGUCAAGUGAAGAAGCGCAUACGGUGGAUGCCUUGGCAGUCAGAGGCGAUGAAAGACGUGGUAGCCUGCGAAAAGCUUCGGGGAGUCGGCAAACAGACUGUGAUCCGGAGGUAUCUGAAUGGGGGAACCCAGCCAUCAUAAGAUGGUUAUCUUGUACUGAAUACAUAGGUGCAAGAGGCGAACCAGGGGAACUGAAACAUCUAAGUACCCUGAGGAAAAGAAAUCAACCGAGAUUCCCUUAGUAGUGGCGAGCGAACGGGGACCAGCCCUUAAGUUGUAUUGAGAUUAGCGGAACACUCUGGAAAGGGUGGCCAUAGUGGGUGAUAGCCCUGUACGCGAAAAUCCCUUUGCAAUGAAAUCGAGUAGGACGGGGCACGAGAAACCUUGUCUGAAUAUGGGGGGACCAUCCUCCAAGGCUAAAUACUACUGACUGACCGAUAGUGAACCAGUACCGUGAGGGAAAGGCGAAAAGAACCGCGGAGAGCGGAGUGAAAUAGAUCCUGAAACCGUAUGCGUACAAGCAGUGGGAGCCCACUUUGUUGGGUGACUGCGUACCUUUUGUAUAAUGGGUCAGCGACUUAUUUUCAGUGGCGAGCUUAACCGAAUAGGGGAGGCGUAGCGAAAGCGAGUCUUAAUAGGGCGUCUAGUCGCUGGGAAUAGACCCGAAACCGGGCGAUCUAUCCAUGGGCAGGUUGAAGGUUGGGUAACACUAACUGGAGGACCGAACCGACUACCGUUGAAAAGUUAGCGGAUGACCUGUGGAUCGGAGUGAAAGGCUAAUCAAGCUCGGAGAUAGCUGGUUCUCCUCGAAAGCUAUUUAGGUAGCGCCUCAUGUAUCACUGUAGGGGGUAGAGCACUGUUUCGGCUAGGGGGUCAUCCCGACUUACCAAACCGAUGCAAACUCCGAAUACCUACAAGUGCCGAGCAUGGGAGACACACGGCGGGUGCUAACGUCCGUCGUGAAAAGGGAAACAACCCAGACCGUCAGCUAAGGUCCCAAAGUCAUGGUUAAGUGGGAAACGAUGUGGGAAGGCUUAGACAGCUAGGAGGUUGGCUUAGAAGCAGCCACCCUUUAAAGAAAGCGUAAUAGCUCACUAGUCGAGUCGGCCUGCGCGGAAGAUGUAACGGGGCUCAAACCAUGCACCGAAGCUACGGGUAUCAUCUUUUGAUGAUGCGGUAGAGGAGCGUUCUGUAAGCCUGUGAAGGUGAGUUGAGAAGCUUGCUGGAGGUAUCAGAAGUGCGAAUGCUGACAUGAGUAACGACAAUGGGUGUGAAAAACACCCACGCCGAAAGACCAAGGUUUCCUGCGCAACGUUAAUCGACGCAGGGUUAGUCGGUCCCUAAGGCGAGGCUGAAAAGCGUAGUCGAUGGAAAACAGGUUAAUAUUCCUGUACUUCUGGUUAUUGCGAUGGAGGGACGGAGAAGGCUAGGCCAGCCUGGCGUUGGUUGUCCAGGUUUAAGGUGGUAGGCUGAGAUCUUAGGUAAAUCCGGGAUCUUAAGGCCGAGAGCUGAUGACGAGUGUUCUUUUAGAACACGAAGUGGUUGAUGCCAUGCUUCCAAGAAAAGCUUCUAAGCUUCAGGUAACCAGGAACCGUACCCCAAACCGACACAGGUGGUUGGGUAGAGAAUACCAAGGCGCUUGAGAGAACUCGGGUGAAGGAACUAGGCAAAAUGGCACCGUAACUUCGGGAGAAGGUGCGCCGGUGAGGGUGAAGCAUUUACUGCGUAAGCCCAUGCCGGUCGAAGAUACCAGGCCGCUGCGACUGUUUAUUAAAAACACAGCACUCUGCAAACACGAAAGUGGACGUAUAGGGUGUGACGCCUGCCCGGUGCCGGAAGGUUAAUUGAUGGGGUUAGCGCAAGCGAAGCUCUUGAUCGAAGCCCCGGUAAACGGCGGCCGUAACUAUAACGGUCCUAAGGUAGCGAAAUUCCUUGUCGGGUAAGUUCCGACCUGCACGAAUGGCGUAACGAUGGCGGCGCUGUCUCCACCCGAGACUCAGUGAAAUUGAAAUCGCUGUGAAGAUGCAGUGUAUCCGCGGCUAGACGGAAAGACCCCGUGAACCUUUACUAUAGCUUUGCACUGGACUUUGAAUUUGCUUGUGUAGGAUAGGUGGGAGGCUUUGAAGCGUGGACGCCAGUCUGCGUGGAGCCAACCUUGAAAUACCACCCUGGCAACUUUGAGGUUCUAACUCAGGUCCGUUAUCCGGAUCGAGGACAGUGUAUGGUGGGUAGUUUGACUGGGGCGGUCUCCUCCUAAAGAGUAACGGAGGAGUACGAAGGUGCGCUCAGACCGGUCGGAAAUCGGUCGUAGAGUAUAAAGGCAAAAGCGCGCUUGACUGCGAGACAGACACGUCGAGCAGGUACGAAAGUAGGUCUUAGUGAUCCGGUGGUUCUGUAUGGAAGGGCCAUCGCUCAACGGAUAAAAGGUACUCCGGGGAUAACAGGCUGAUACCGCCCAAGAGUUCAUAUCGACGGCGGUGUUUGGCACCUCGAUGUCGGCUCAUCACAUCCUGGGGCUGAAGCCGGUCCCAAGGGUAUGGCUGUUCGCCAUUUAAAGUGGUACGCGAGCUGGGUUUAGAACGUCGUGAGACAGUUCGGUCCCUAUCUGCCGUGGACGUUUGAGAUUUGAGAGGGGCUGCUCCUAGUACGAGAGGACCGGAGUGGACGAACCUCUGGUGUUCCGGUUGUCACGCCAGUGGCAUUGCCGGGUAGCUAUGUUCGGAAAAGAUAACCGCUGAAAGCAUCUAAGCGGGAAACUUGCCUCAAGAUGAGAUCUCACUGGAACCUUGAGUUCCCUAAAGGGCCGUCGAAGACUACGACGUUGAUAGGUUGGGUGUGUAAGCGCUGUGAGGCGUUGAGCUAACCAAUACUAAUUGCCCGUGAGGCUUGACCAU